rnacentral:lncRNA from 1 species
CUCCCAAAAUCCCUAGAUGCUCAAAAGCAGGUUAGUAGCAGGUGUAAAGGACACAACCAGUUGGGACCAGCUCUGUACAGCUGCUCCUUUAUGUUGGACUUCACUUCCAAGCCAAACAGCCCUGCGUGAGGCUGGGCCCUGCCCCAGCCCCAGGGGUGAACUGUGAUUGGUCUAAAUCAUAUCUGUCCUCCCUACGCAUUGGUCAAGGUGGGGGCGUGUGUGCAAUUCUGGCCAAUGAGCGCUGGGAAGAGGCGUAACAGUGCAUACUUGAAGAUUCUCUGCUGUCUUCGGAAACAGCAGGAGGAAGGGCUUGGUAGGGUGCGGGGCGGUGCUGUAGCCCUUUUGCUCCGAGAAGGAAAGCAGCCAACCCCUGAGACAGGUGAGCAGAAAGGCAGAGGGAAGGUGGGGCCUUGACCUGGGUUUAAUUCACUUAGCAUCCCAUUCUUCUUUUAGCUUGUCAUGUGCUCGACAAUCCCAUCCACCUCAGGACCUUCAGACAUGCUGUUCCUCCCCGCUCUGUGUGAUUCGCAUCUACCGCGCCUUCAGGUCUCCGAUCAGACACUGCCAAGUGAAAACACAUCCAGAUUCAGGAGCUGCGCCACCGGCGUCAACUCUGUGGAAUCUAAGCACUGCACAGGACGCCACCAGUCGACGGGGUCAAACGAAGGGGAUUCUGAGUUCACCAUAGCUACCGCCUUCUCUUCAACUUCUCAGUGGAACUGCAACACACUUGGGAAGAAAGGCACGAGUCAUGCAAGUGACAUCCCAGAGGGCGCUGCAGAGCACACACGUUGGUGUGAGCACUGCCCAGGUCAAGCAGUAGAUCAUUAGCAGCACCCCAGAAACUCCCCUAGGCACUGCCCCACGCUAUCCCCACCCUCCGAGGUAGUCAGAGGACUGCUGUGCUGGUGCUCACUCCACAGGUGAGUUUGGGUGUUGGCUCUUAACUCACGAAUUUAAGGUAUUUUUAACAUUUAGUGUUACCAGGCAUGCACCGAGUCUGGCCCAGCCUAGUAUAGCCCGGGUUCUUUGUUCUUUGGUUCUUGGGAACAGGGAGCAGAUAGGUGUUUGGCAUCCACAUCACAGCCACUGUUCAGAGACGCUUCUGAGAACGAGGUAUAGAGCUCUCAGGCUCUUUGUUUCGGGUCUUUAGCAACCUACCAGCUUCUCUGAUCUCGCUCCCAUUUCGCUCUGUCCUUCAGAACCACAAAUGGGCUUUGCCAGGGUUAGAUUUGCUUCCCGGUUGUUGGAU